rnacentral:rRNA from 1 species
GAGUUUGAUCCUGGCUCAGGAUGAACGCUGGCGGCGUGCCUAAUACAUGCAAGUCGAACGAAUCUCUUUUAGAGAUGAGUGGCGAACGGGUGAGUAAUACAUAGGUAACCUGCCCCUGUGCGGGGGAUAACAGGAGGAAACUCCUGCUAAUACCGCAUAGCCAUGAGCACCGCAUGGAGCUCAUGCCAAAUAUCCUUUCGGGGAUAGCGCAGGGAUGGACCUAUGGCGCAUUAGCUGGUUGGCGGGGCAACGGCCCACCAAGGCAACGAUGCGUAGCCGGCCUGAGAGGGCGGACGGCCACAUUGGGACUGAGACACGGCCCAGACUCCUACGGGAGGCAGCAGUAGGGAAUUUUCGGCAAUGGGGGAAACCCUGACCGAGCAACGCCGCGUGAGCGAAGAAGGCCUUCGGGUCGUAAAGCUCUGUUGUAAAGGAAGAACGGCGCAUACAGGAAAUGGUAUGCGAGUGACGGUACUUUACCAGAAAGCCACGGCUAACUACGUGCCAGCAGCCGCGGUAAUACGUAGGUGGCGAGCGUUAUCCGGAAUCAUUGGGCGUAAAGAGGGAGCAGGCGGCCGCAAGGGUCUGUGGUGAAAGACCGAAGCUAAACUUCGGUAAGCCAUGGAAACCGGGCGGCUAGAGUGCGGAAGAGGAUCGUGGAAUUCCAUGUGUAGCGGUGAAAUGCGUAGAUAUAUGGAGGAACACCAGUGGCGAAGGCGACGGUCUGGGCCGCAACUGACGCUCAUUCCCGAAAGCGUGGGGAGCAAAUAGGAUUAGAUACCCUAGUAGUCCACGCCGUAAACGAUGGUCACUAAGUGUCGGGGGUCAAACCCCGGUGCUGCAGUCAACGCAAUAAGUGACCCGCCUGAGUAGUACGUUCGCAAGAAUGAAACUCAAAGGAAUUGACG